GAUGAACGCUGGCGGCGUGCCUAAUACAUGCAAGUCGAGCGAACAUAUGAGGAGCUUGCUCCUCUGACGUUAGCGGCGGACGGGUGAGUAACACGUGGAUAACCUACCUAUAAGACUUGGAUAACUUCGGGAAACCGGAGCUAAUACCGGAUAAUAUAUUGAACCGCAUGGUUCAAUAGUGAAAGACGGUUUUGCUGUCACUUAUAGAUGGAUCCGCGCCGCAUUAGCUAGUUGGUAAGGUAACGGCUUACCAAGGCAACGAUGCGUAGCCGACCUGAGAGGGUGAUCGGCCACACUGGAACUGAGACACGGUCCAGACUCCUACGGGAGGCAGCAGUAGGGAAUCUUCCGCAAUGGGCGAAAGCCUGACGGAGCAACGCCGCGUGAGUGAUGAAGGUCUUCGGAUAGUAAAACUCUGUUAUUAGGGAAGAACAAAUGUGUAAGUAACUAUGCACAUCUUGACGGUACCUAAUCAGAAAGCCACGGCUAACUACGUG
rnacentral:rRNA from 1 species